rnacentral:rRNA from 1 species
UACGAAGGGGGCUAGCGUUGCUCGGAAUCACUGGGCGUAAAGCGCACGUAGGCGGAUCUUUAAGUCAGGGGUGAAAUCCUGGAGCUCAACUCCAGAACUGCCUUUGAUACUGGGGAUCUCGAGUCCGGGAGAGGUGAGUGGAACUCCGAGUGUAGAGGUGAAAUUCGUAGAUAUUCGCAAGAACACCAGUGGCGAAGGCGGCUCACUGGCCCGGUACUGACGCUGAGGUGCGAAAGCGUGGGGGAGCAAACAGG